AUGGGGAAAACAAAUGUCAAUCCUAUUUGGAGAAAGGUUUGGAAAUUAUCUUGUCUAGCAAAGGUGAAGAUUUUCAUAUGGCGUACCUUGCACGAAACACUCCCAUAUCGUGCCACACUUGCUAAUAGACAUAUGAAAGUUUCUCCCCUCUGCCCAUCAUGUUUGAAUGGACCAGAAGAUACAAAACACAUGUUGUUUCUUUGUCAGAAGGCGAAAGAUGUUUGGAGAAAACUGGGAUUGCAUGAGGCCAUCAGUAAAGCUUGUGUUAUUGAUCGUGAGAGCGAGGCAGUUCUUGAGUUUUUACUUCUUAUGUCAGAGGAAGAGCUAUCUACAGUAGGCACCCAUAAUGCACAUGAAUUGAUUGCUAUAACAGCCUGGUAUUUAUGGUGGAAUAGACGGAUGCUAGUUCAUGAGGGAAAGUCCCAAGAUGCAUACCAAACCUCAAUGGGAGCCCGUGCUGUAGCGGCAAAUUAUGUGAAAGCUCAUUCCUCGAGGGCGACAAUUAGAACAGGGGGAUGGGAAAGACCUCCCAUGGGUUCUGUGAAAUUGAAUGUCGAUGCUUCUUUUGAUCAGGACAUGCUUAGAGGUACAGCAGGGGCUGUUCUUAGAGAUGAUAAAGGAAGGUUCAUUAUUGGCGGGAACUGGAGGAUGGAUUGGUGUGCAGAUGUCUUAACAGCAGAAGCGUUGGCUCUAAGAUUUGGCUUAUCACUUGCACAGAAGGCGGGAUGUAAUCGUCUUGUUGUUAACUCCGACAAUAUGGAAGUAGUUGACACAAUGAAGAAUACAGAACAUUUAGCGGGAGUGGCGGCGGCAGUUUCUGAUGAUUGUUAUUUUAUGGCAUGCGAUUUUCCGCGUAUUAGUUUUGAGCAUUGUAAUAGGGAAGCGAAUAAAGUUGCUCACGAAUUUGCUAGAUUAGCUAAAUUUUUUGUGACUAGAGAUUGUUUUGAGGAACCUGUGAAUGAGAUUGUAACUUUUCUUAUUAACGAUGUACUCCCUCUGUAA
rnacentral:rRNA from 1 species